GUAGGUGGCAAGCGUUGUCCGGAAUUAUUGGGCGUAAAGCGCGCGCAGGCGGUUCUUUAAGUCUGAUGUGAAAGCCCACGGCUCAACCGUGGAGGGUCAUUGGAAACUGGAGAACUUGAGUACAGAAGAGGAAAGCGGAAUUCCACGUGUAGCGGUGAAAUGCGUAGAGAUGUGGAGGAACACCAGUGGCGAAGGCGGCUUUCUGGUCUGUGACUGACGCUGAGGCGCGAAAGCGUUGGGGGAGCAAACAGGAUUAGAUACCCUGGUAGUCCACGCCGUAAACCGAUGAGUGCUAAGUGUUAGGGGGUUUCCGCCCCUUAGUGCUGCAGCUAACGCAUUAAGCACUCCCGCCUGGGAGUACGGCCGCAAGGCUG
rnacentral:rRNA from 1 species